rnacentral:rRNA from 1 species
CGUAGGUGGCAAGCGUUGUCCGGAAUUAUUGGGCGUAAAGCGCGCGCAGGCGGUUCCUUAAGUCUGAUGUGAAAGCCCCCGGCUCAACCGGGGAAGGUCAUUGGAAACUGGGGAACUUGAGUGCAGAAGAGAAGUGCGGAAUUCCACGUGUAGCGGUGAAAUGCGUAGAGAUGUGGAGGAACACCAGUGGCGAAGGCGGCUCUUUGGUCUGUAACUGACGCUGAGGCGCGAAAGCGUGGGGAGCAAACAGGAUUAGAUACCCUGGUAGUCCACGCCGUAAACGAUGAGUGCUAAGUGUUAGAGGGUUUCCGCCCUUUAGUGCUGCAGCUAACGCAUUAAGCACUCCGCCUGGGGAGUACGGCCGCAAGGCUG